AGGGAUGUAGUUCAGUGGUAGAACACUUGCCUAGCAUGCUUGAGGUCUUGGGUUCCACCCCAACAUUGCAA
rnacentral:tRNA from 1 species